UCUAGUGUGCGGCCUCGUUUGUUUGUUAUUGGGGGGCACAUUUGGGAUGGUUCUUUUGUUGGACAUUUAUUUACCAGGACUUUCAAAAGAUCGUUUGCAGAGCGUACAAACAGAUUUUUGCUCAUGCAGUCAUCCCAAUGUGGAGUCUACCGGCUGGGCGGGAGCAACAUUAAAGGGCAGGAGCAUCGAGCUGCAAAGAAGUGAAACAAACUAUUCCACUUGUACUAUGUAAUACACCCGACCAUCAGAGUCCUCCGCAAGGAUCAGACCCAGGCAUGGACGCUGCCCGCCCAGUCAAGAAGCCACCCUCGGUACCAAGCGUGGGUGAUUGGCU